UGUUCUGUUCACUGUCCAAAGUCCCAGAGAGGAGGCCCAACAUCUGUAUCCCACAUACUCAUUCUGCAAGCCUUGCUCCUCAUUCGGGAUCAGCCUAGACACCAGCUUCCAUGGAGCUCACCAAGAAUGUAAGGAGUUCUGGGAAAUUAACUGAUUCCAAACAACGGUAAAAGAAGGAGAAGAGGAACAACAGGUAGAUGCAGAAAAAGAAAACGAAUACAGAGAAAUAGUUGAGGUCAGGCUGCAAACUUCAACAGAAGCAGUGAAGACCUUCUUGAUGUUCCAGAGUAAUAUUAGAGCAGUUACAAGUAAUGCUGUAACCUAAUUUUUAUAUUAAUAAUAUAACUGGAAAGUGAAUAGGGAAGAAUAAACACAAAAGGAGGGAAUUAAAGAGCGGAGAGUCUCCUGAG